GGGUGCCUGUAUCUUUUCAUCAAAUAUAUGGGAAGCAGGUUCAUAUUAAACCAAAAAGCAUGUCAUGAUUUUUGCCAGGACUGGGCUUUAUCAAUUGCUGCUGAGACCAUGUUGGUGACUUACACUGACCGCAGGGCUGUCUCUACUGGAGGGUCUGGUAGAGUCAUUGUCAUUUGCCUGAAUUCUUCUCCAGUUGGUGGCAACGCUCUGUCCCAGUGAAGCAUCUAAAGGGCCAGUGGGCAGCACAAGUGAGGUUGGCUCCACGGUCAAUCCCAGGCAUCUGGCUCUUUCUGCCUGCCCAGCUCCAAGGCCUGGGGGCUCCCUGAAGGUGGGUCAUGUACUCACCCAGCAACCCUUCCCCCCAGUGCUUAGAAAGGGUUGUUGAGGAUUUUCCAGCGGGUUUGCAGUUGUGGGUUAUCUUGACCUAAAUGGGUGACCCUCAUGGGACAAAGCCAGCCCUGAAGCAGGGCAGAGGUUAACAUGGGUUAGGAAAGGGGUCCCUGACACCUGCUGUCCUGGGGUGCAGUGCCCCGGCUCAGCAAGGUGGAAUGCUUUGGGUGGGUGAGUAGGACCUUGGCUCAAAGGGGACCCUAUGAGGGCCCUUUCUAUGUCACCUCCCUUUCUGUCUCAAGUCACACCAUGGUUUCUCUCCAUCUCCCCUCCCUCCCUCAUUCCUGAGCACCGCUGUGCCAGGCCUUGUGCUGGCUCCUGAGGCACCCCCCCAUUUGGGCAGCAUCUCUUAGCUCCUCCCGCGGGCAGGCACUGUUCCAUUCCGUGAGCCUGGGGAAUGGGGGCAUGGGGUGCCACUGCCCCCCCACCAGCCACUCCGAGAGUGGGUUGGAGGUGGAGAGGAGACCCAUCCAGGCAGAAGGAAAGGCCUGAGAGAGCGCGGGCCACUGGGUCUCAUGGCCAGAAAUCAGGCCAGUGUGUACAACACCCAGAGCCCAGGAGGAGAGAGAAGAUUUGGGGUCAGAUCAUGGAAAUCUUGUGGUUUUAUUCUAAGUGCAGAGGGAUGCACUCUGGGAUUGAGCAGGAGGGUGACAAAGCUUUGAUUUCUUUUUUUUUUUUUUUUUCCUGCAAGGUAGUUGUUUUAAAGAAGCCCCGUCUCAGUUGCGGAUAUAACCAGCCCUACGAGGCGGCCGCUGGUCAGUCCUCCCUCUGGGACCCAUCUUUGCACAAGGAGGCCACAGACCCGCCCCUUCCCAUCCGACAUGCCUGGGCCCCCCUGGGGAGAGGAUGCUGUUCUCCUUCGGGGGUGGCCUCUGGAGGGGCCCACCCAGCCUGCCCUCCCAUUGACCCAUCUCCUGCCCAAGUCCAUGGCGGUUGGGUCGUCUGAAUGGCCAAGAGAUGAACUCAUCGGCCACCUCCUGCAGGGCCACUGUCUGAGCGUGGCUGCUGCUUAAUCAAGGGACAAGCACGCUGUGUUCCGGGGCUGGGCUGGCCAACAUCCUUGAUGAGUAACUGGGACCGUGGAGGGGACGGGGAAGUGGCAACAAGGCCACCAUUGUUCUUUCGCUCCGGAGCCCAGAGGGCCAGGUCCGCAGGGCAGGACAGGCUGGGCUGGGCUGGCGGCCACGGCUGCUGGAUAAAGCCUCAGUCACCUCAGCAGGAGGGCGAGGGGGCGGGUCCAGCUGCCCCCGGGGGACGCCACCUCCGCAGAGUUCCCAGAGGCUCAUGAAGCCAGUAUGUCUCGUCUGCAAACCUGAGUGUCCUUUCCACAGGAGGACGGAACAUUGAUGCAGAGUGGGGGCUUUGGGUUCAUUUUUGGCAUGCGUUCAUCCAUGCAUCCAUGCAUCCAUGCAUCCAUCCAUGCUACAUUCAUCCAGCUCCUUCGAGCAUCACCUGAAAGAUGAGAACGAGCGGCCAGUGCUCACUAGACACCCUUUCCCCAUGUCAGCCUGAGAGUCUCAGAGUUCAUUGCCAUGUCUAAUCCUCGCCAUGUGCCCUGGGGUCCUGUUAGCCUCAGAGGCCUGGGGCUAAGGUGGCAGGUGUAGACUGUCUCCACCUCUGGCCUCGGGCUGGUUGCUUCAGCUCCAUGAUGUACAUUUCAGUGGGCCAUGAGAUUAGCUACAUCUUCUGGGUUUUAUUCACAGAUCUAGAAACAAAAGUACACCUAUAGAAGCAUAAAAUAACUCACCAUCCAGACUUGGUCCUGUGGAUGGGGGCAGGAAUGGCAAAGUAGGAAAUAUACUUUCUCUUCUGUGAAAUGGCCAGGGAACAGGUACCCCCCCAAAGAGCCGUAAAUAACCGUAUCACCUCAGUAAAUACCCCCGAAAUAAUGCAGGCAUAUUUUGACCAUAAUAUUGAAAAAUCAGACACAGCUAAUGAAAAAAAAUCCCAAAGAAUGUAUUUAUCUUCCUUUCUUUCUUUCUUUUCUUCUUUCUUUCAUCUUUCUUUCUUUCUUUCUUUCUUUCUUUCUUUUCUUCUUUCUUUCAUCUUUCUUUCUUUCUUUAAAAGCUCUGGCAUUGCCACAGCUCUGGCGUAGGGAGCACUUGUGGCCACAGGAUUCAGUCUCUGGCCCAGGAACUUCCAUAUGCCACAGGAGUGGCCAUAAAAAGCAAAUAAAUAAAUAAAGAUAAGGAGUUCCCACUGUGGCUCAGUGAGGAGGUGGGGUCAAUCCCUUGCCUGUGCAUGUUCCUUUAACCCGCUGCGCUGGGCCAGGGAUCAAACCGGCACCUCUGCAGUUUGACCUCUGAUUCAUAACCCUCUGGCACCACGGCCACGAAGUCCAGAAUAUAUUUGCACGUCACCCCCUUGGGACAUGUCAGGAUCUGUUAGUCCCAGAGCUGAAGCAGGGCUGCCCCGCAACCGGCGUCUUUACCGCUAGGUGCACGCACACACCCAGAGACAUGUCCGCCUGAGCUCCCGGAGCAGCGGAGCCCUGGAACUGGCAAGACCCCACAGCUUACAUCUCUUCCCAGCUCCGGUCUCAGUGACGUCCCGGCGGCAGCCGGAAGUCAGGCCUGCUGGGAGGAUUUACACCGUGGCCAUCGGCAGACACUUGCCAGAGCUUUUUUUCUGAAGGGCCCUGGUCCAGGCUCGCCAGGAUAUUACUGAUGGAAGGUCAUGAUUCGAACGCUCACGGCAGUGCCAUUGGGGAUGGUACUACCUGUUCAUCCAUAGCAGAAGCAUCAACACAUGAGAGUGAUUUUUCCUGCCCCAGAACUUUGCAGCAGGGAAAGUGGACACACGCCACCUCAUACAGUCACAUGAGUGCAUCUCACAGACACACAAUCAUACAUUUUAGGGUUCCCUUUAUAGAAAACUCAGAAACAGCCCUAACUAAUCCCUGGUGUGGGAGGUCACGACACGGCGAGCAGGGCAUGCCUGGAACGAGGCAAACGGGUCCCUGACAAGGUGGCAGUGUUCUGUUCUUACAGCUCAGCUCCAGUUACACGGCUGGGUUUCCUUGGUAAAAACUCAGCGAGCUCAUCCGUACGAUUUGAUAUGUUUUUGUAAGUAUCUAAAUCUUGAAUAAAAAGUAUACUAAAGAAAACAAGAUUUCUAAAUAAAACAAAACACAACAAACCAAACUAAGCAAUUAUCUCCCAAAUAACUCUGGGGCCAAAGAGAAAAUUAUAAAUGAGCUGGAAAAUACUAUUUGUCCUAGGUAAUGAAUCAUGGGCAUUUGUAAACUCUAGUCACAGAUUUUCAUUGCAGAGUGGUUCAGAAUAG
rnacentral:lncRNA from 1 species